GCUUACGACCACACCGCCUGAUACGCCUGAUCUCGUCUGAUCUCGGAAGCUAAGCAGGGUCGGGCCUGGUUAGUACUUGGAUGGGAGACCGCCUGGGAAUACCAGGUGCUGUAAGCU
rnacentral:rRNA from 1 species